AGAUGUAAGGGUGAUCUGGGUGACAUCUGUCACCCCAUUAAUAACUAGGGUUGAUUUGGCUGAUCUGGCUGACUAGGUGGGUGUCCCCUUCCUCUGUCACUACUCCAUGUGUGUCCCUCCCAAAGCUGCACACUCGGUCGAAGAGGACGGCCUUCCCUGAAUAGAGAUGGACCAGUUUUCGGCUGAGGUUAAAUGAGUAGCUGUACUCUCCUGCUAGAAACUCCAAUUAAGCUCUCAAGGUCCUUUUGUAGGAGAAUGUAGGGUAGACAAGCCUUAAAGACUCCAGGCACAUCCAAAUGACGCGCUGCAUGUAGCAGUCUGCCUUUCUUU
rnacentral:snRNA from 1 species